GGCCCAGUGGCGAGCGGUCUCGCAUCCGCAACAUUUAGAUGAUUCGAACCGAAUUCAGCGGCAGCUCUGGUUCGACUCCAGCCUGAGUCA